rnacentral:rRNA from 1 species
UGAGGAAUAUUGGUCAAUGGGCGGAAGCCUGAACCAGCCAAGUCGCGUGAGGGAAUGAGGCCCUGCGGGUCGUAAACCUCUUUUGCCGGGGAGCAGUGCCGCCCACGCGUGGGCGGAGUGAGAGUACCCGGAGAAAAAGCAUCGGCUAACUCCGUGCCAGCAGCCGCGGUAAUACGGAGGAUGCGAGCGUUAUCCGGAUUUAUUGGGUUUAAAGGGUGCGCAGGCGGCGCCCCAAGUCAGCGGUCAAAUCGAGGGGCUCAACCCCUUUCCGCCGUUGAAACUGGGGGGCUAGAGUGGGCGAGAAGUAGGCGGAACGCGUGGUGUAGCGGUGAAAUGCAUAGAUAUCACGCAGAACCCCGAUUGCGAAGGCAGCCUACCGGCGCUCGACUGACGCUCAUGCACGAAAGCGCGGGGAUCGAACAGG